CCCUACGGGGGGCAGCAGUGAGGAAUAUUGCACAAUGGGCGCAAGCCUGAUGCAGCAACGCCGCGUGAGGGACGAAGGCCUUCGGGUCGUAAACCUCUUUUCUGGGGGACGAGUAAGGACGGUACCCCAGGAAUAAGUCUCGGCUAACUACGUGCCAGCAGCCGCGGUAAAACGUAGGAGGCGAGCGUUAUCCGGAUUUACUGGGCGUAAAGCGUACGCAGGUGGCUUCGUGAGUCGGACAUGAAAGCUCCUGGCUUAACUGGGAGAGGUUGUUCGAUACUGCGGGGCUUGAGGUUGGGAGAGGGACGUGGAAUUCCCGGUGUAGUGGUGGAAUGCGUAGAUAUCGGGAGGAACACCAGUGGCGCAAGCGGCGUCCUGGCCCACACCUGACGCUGAGGUACGAAAGCGUGGGUAGCAAACAGGAUUAGAUACCCCAGUAGUCA
rnacentral:rRNA from 1 species